AGUAUUGUGACAGUAAUCCAACUUGGUACGAGAGGAUUAGUUGGUUCAGACAAUUGGUACAGCAAUUGGUUGAUAAGCCAGUGUUGCGAAGCUAAGUCUGUUGGAUAAUGACUGAACGCCUCUUAAGUCAGAACCCAUACUGAUUAGACAAUUUU
rfam:Plasmodium falciparum Vietnam Oak-Knoll (FVO) unplaced genomic scaffold supercont1.138, whole genome shotgun sequence.